GCCCGUCUAGCUCAGUUGGUAGAGCACAAGGCUCUUACAUUCUGGUGUUGGGUUCGAGCCCCAAGGUGGGCA
rfam:Triticum aestivum genome assembly, contig: Triticum_aestivum_CS42_TGACv1_scaffold_223342_3B